rnacentral:rRNA from 1 species
UACGUAGGGUGCAAGCGUUGUCCGGAAUUAUUGGGCGUAAAGGGUAGGUAGGUGGUCUCAUUUGUCUGGGGUGAAAGCCUCGAGCUUAACUCGAGAAGUGCCCCGGAAACGGUGAGACUAGAGUACUGGAGAGGGUCGUGGAAUUCCCGGUGUAGCGGUGAAAUGCGUAGAGAUCGGGAGGAACACCAGAGGCGAAGGCGGCGACCUGGACAUUACU